rnacentral:lncRNA from 1 species
AUAGGUGUGUUCCUCAAAAUAUGUUUCUGCAAGUAAACAUUUGUGCUUUAAAAAUAAGCCACUUGGAUUAUAGUAAGGUAUUAACCAACCUGCCAUGCAGAAAAGGAGAGAAUGCAUCUACAACGGGAUGGGUUUAUAUAAAAGUACUCUCCUUCUCAGUUAGCCAAUAGUUUGUUUCGCCAUCCUAAUUCACGUGAUCUCCAAUCAAAUAGGAUAGGUUACCACUAUGACAUAACUCUCAUGUGGGUCUCAAUCCCAUCUUCCUCGAUACCUCGUCAAUCAUAUUUUGUGAAAGACCUUUAGUAAAUAGAUUUGCUAGAUUUUUAGAAGUCUGGACAUAGUCCAAAGCUAUUACUCUAGAGUUUCUCAUUUUUCUAACAGACUUCAACCACCUUUUCACAUGCCUUGAUGACUUCAU